rnacentral:lncRNA from 1 species
GACUCGGCUCCGCCUCCUCCCCGCCACUGCCCCCACCCCUCGAUGAUGGCGCGCCGCUUGGGAGUCAGUCCGACGCCUCUCUGCGGCGGCGCUCCCCUACGGUUCGCACCCCCUCCGUGCUCCUCCCCGCUCUCCCUCUCCCGCCAAGCAGCUCCCUGCUUGUGGUGGGCUGGUAGGUAGGGCGAGCGUUUUCGUCUGUAGAUUGCCUUCCGGGUGUACAGGCACGGCUCUCUCGCCCGGAAACUGAAUAUAAGGAAGGAUUCGGGGGUUCCGUGGGGGCUUGGGUUUUGCGAGCUUACGGUCAUUUCUGCAAAUUAUGUUUGUAUCUUUUCAUCCUUUUUGUAACAUGGGAGUAUCCGAGUAUAUGAUUACUAAACGACCUCUACCAGUAAGUCAUUUAUGUUUUACGUCCUCUGAUGUGCCCAAAUGGGAUGGCAUGUAACCCAAUGCCAUGAAUGAAUCAUUCGAUGGCCAACCGAGAUAUUUGUAAUUUUUAUAUUUUUCUGUUAAGAGCCAAUACAACCUGCUGGGACUGUGUCCUAUCUAUUUGCAUUGUCAGUAAUACUUUCUUUGUGACAUUGUAAAGUUCUAUUUCUAGUGAUUAUUGGAAGCGUGAAAGUACAACAACCUAGUUUCUCAGAUAGUUUCAGUAUUGCUCUCUCCUUGUGAUAUUUGUUUGGCUCUAGUAAAACUAGAUGUGUGUUUGGGGGUUAAGCACAGAUAAUAAGUGACAUUGUCCUGUCUAACAUUGUUGAUAUUUUACUACAGAGUACAUUUUCUUGG